GGCGCUGUAGUGUAGCUGGUUAUCACAGCGGAUUCUGAGCAAGGUUCACGUGACCACGCAGGAUCGAUUUCCGUUAACCCAGGUUCGAAUCCUGGCAGUGCCU